UACGUAGGUGACCAGCGUUGUCCGGAUUUACUGGGCGUAAAGGGCUCGUAGGUGGCCAACUAAGUCGGACGUGAAAUCCCUCGGCUUAACCGGGGAACUGCGUCCGAUACUGGUUGGCUUGAGUUUGGGAGAGGGAUGCGGAAUUCCAGGUGUAGCGGUGAAAUGCGUAGAUAUCUGGAGGAACACCGGUGGCGAAGGCGGGUCUCUGGGCCGUAACUGACGCUGAGGAGCGAAAGCGUGGGGAGCGAACAGG
rnacentral:rRNA from 1 species